rnacentral:lncRNA from 1 species
AAUUUUUUGUACGGCCGCCAUAUUGGAAAGCCCCAGAAUACCGAAAAUACAGUGAUUGCGCUUGAAGAUGUACCUUUUUACUUCGUUUAUAUCUACUCGACCAAGUCACAUAUUUCAAUGAUAUUAUUAUAUUUAAAAUGUUUGAAGGUGUAAAAAUUGUAAAAGGGAAUCAAAAACACGCAAAACAUUAACGACGAAGAGAAAUAUCGCUAUAAAGAAAUAAUAAAAUUUGUAUUGCUUUCUAUUAACUUGUUAAAUUUAUUGAAUUCAUGAUAUUCUAAAUAAAACUUUUCUGAAAGACAAAUUGAUAUUUGAUCUGGUUACUUUUGGGAGUUUAUUUUAACUUAAUGCGACCUUACUUAGCAGUAGCAGCUGGAAAGUAACUUUACAAGUAUAAAACAUGAUAAAAACAUUGUAUCAAACAUUUUUGUAAGUGGUUUUCUAACUUUUGAAACUCUGAGGGCAUGUUUAUAUUGUUCCACAACUAAAAUAUCAUCAACUAUGCAAUACUUUAUUAAAAUUGAUAUCACUUAAUAACAAUGUUUUGUUCUGUUGCUUUGCUAACUUUAAUUACACUUUGUGAAGGUUUGAAAAAAACCAUCUCUAACUUUAAAAAACACUAGAUAUUUGGUGAUAACUAGUUAUUUGCAGUUUUACGUUAAAGUAUUUAGUGUUUUAGACUAAAUAACAGCAUCACAUACAUGUUGAUUGUUUAUCCUUGCGGCGAACGUGACGUCACUUUAACUAACUAAACGGCUACCAUUAUGGUAUGGGGGCAAACAACGCGCUUGAAAAUAGAGAAAUGUGUUUUUGAUUGUUCAAUUAAUGUUAAUAGUCAUCCGAACUUGAUUUUUUAUAUUUUGCUUCCUGAUCCAAAGAGAAGAAAAUCGUGGUUUUAUGCUUUAUAUAGAAUUGAUUCAUCUUGCAAACAAACUUUGGUCGCAAAACAUGUCUAAGUAUGCUCAAAACAUUUUGUAUUUGAAUAUUAUGUACAAAAAAGUCAUUGCAAUAAAUCUCAAGUUAUUAAAGUCAGUGAACAAAUAAGUACUGACAAUUCGUUGACUGGAGUGGAAGAUGUUAGUGUCUUGAACCAACAUGAAACAACAAGUGAACUUAGCUGAGAAUGAUGGUAGUUUAAAAAUAAUGCAGCAUUAGCUAGGUAAGUGAUUAUGUGUAUGUUGGCUCACUCAUAAGUCAAUAUAUAUGUGUUUAUGUUCUGUGUCGAUCUCUGGUGUCAUGUUGGCUCACCCUUUAGACAUUAUGUGUGUUUGUGUUCUGUUUCAACCUCUAGUGCGGUGUUGAUUCACUUGUAAGUCAUGUGUAUAAUUUUAUUUUGUUUUAUUGUGUUAUUAUUGUGAUGUUAUUGUUGCUAUGUUUUGUGUUGAUAGACAAGUUUGCUUACCUUCUCCUUGGUGUCUCUUGCUACAAAUGAUUAUUAGAUUUAAAAAUGACAACAUUAAAAGUAUGUUUUACUUUAAAACAUGUUUCUUGCCUAUUAGUAAAUGAUUUUUUACUUAAACUCGUCACUUCUAAUCAUUUACUAAUAGGCAAGAAACAUGUUUUAAAGUAAAACAUACUUUUAAUGUUGUCAUUUUUAAUCUUUAGGGUUGUUCUUAGGUCACAAAAACAAUCUUACAAAUAGAGUUUCUGCUGUUGUCACUGGUUUUAGAGAGUACCUUCGUGAAUGAAGAUAAAAAGUCAUUUAUGUUAUUUUUUAAAAGCCAAGACAUAAUAUUGUUAAUCCUCAUACCAUUUACUAAAAAACUUUAUAAAUAUUGUUACGAUGUUAUAAUUCAAAUUGUUGUAAUUAGUAAUUUUGAUCAUUUCAUUAUUAUACUGUAAAAAAUAUUUUUUAUUUAUAACAUUUAUUUCACAUAUAUUAAAAACAUGAGGAAUAAAUAUUACACUGAGGAAAAUUUUAAGCAAAAUAUAGAAUUUUUAAAUGUUAUUAGAAUAUCAAUAUGUAAUA